ensembl:lincRNA
GUCAAAUUUCAGUUGUCUUGUUGUUUGUUUCUGGUCUGAACUUAUUAUUUUUGGUCUUAAAGGAAAUAACUUGCUGGAAACAUUAAUUCUGAGUUUAUAACUCUUCCAAUUUGUUUUCUCAGAAUAUUGACAUAUUUUGCAAUGAUGUAGAAAAGAAACUUAUGCAUCUACUUAAUGCAAAUGAUCCCAAGUGCUCCACCCCUAAUAAAGAAUACACAUCAGAGCCACACACUACUCAAACAGUCCUCAGUACAGGAAAUAAGUUUCUGAUGACUUCUCCUAAUAGUGAGAUAAAUUAUCAGAGUCCAUUAUCACUUUGUACGCCAAAAGGGAAGUCUGUGUCCACGCCUGUAUCCACUCGCAUGACCUCAAAGUCCUGUUCUAAAGGAGAGAAAGAGAUUGACGACCCAAAAAACUGCAAAAAGAGAAGAGCCUUGGAUUUCUUAAGCAGACUUCCUCUACCUCCGCCUGUUAGUCCUAUUUGUACAUUUGUUUCUCCUGCUGCACAGAAGGCAUUUCAGCCACCACGAAGUUGUGGCAGCAAAUACGAAACACCUAUAAAGAAAAAAGAAUUGAAUUCUCCUCAAAUGACUCCACUUAAAAAAUUCAAUGAAAUUUCUCUUCUGGAAAGUGAUUCAAUACCUGAUGAAGAACUUGCACUGAUAAAUACUCAAGCCAUUCUGUCUGGUUCAGCAAGAAAAAGUCAACUAUCUCUCAGUGACUCCAUGAGGACUGCCCCCUCGGGUUCAAGGGACUCUCUUAGACAGAAAAGACACAUGACAUCACUGGUCAGAGAUGAAGAGAAUUCCCAAAACAGCACAGAAGAAUGUGAGACCAGUAUUCAGGACACAAGUGCAAUAAGUAAUAUGUCUAAGAGAUUGCAAAGGCAACAAAAAUGAAGACAAUACAUUAGUUAUUGACUCGGUCUUUCCAGUUUGUAAGACAUGCACAGUUUCAAACUGCACAUCAGUAUUUGUAUAAAAAGACAUGAGAUGGUUUCAGAUUUACCGAAGUAUUUGUAUGUCAUAGAGACAUUCUUUCCUUGAUUCUAUUCUGGUAUGCUUUUAUUUCAAUUGUCUACCUUAACUGUAUUCAGUAACUAAUCCAAAAAAUCUUAUUUAAAUCUUUGAUUGGAUUGAAUCACUACAGUGUUAUAAAAAUAAACAAACAGACUGUUUUCUUUUAGACUGUGUCAUUGUAUAAUUAAAACAAAGUUCUUAGUACAGUUAUUUUGACUUAUAGUUACUUUAGAAAUUUUUUCUUGUUUUAAAGAGGGGACCUCCUAUGAAAUAGUUUUCAUAUGCAUAAUGCAUGUGUUGGUUUUGCUGUAGUUCCGUCGUUUUCAAAAGUCAGGAUGAAUAGAUAUGUAGAGUUUUCUUCUGACCAAUUCUUCAUCCUUAAGUCAGCAUGACUACAAAAAAAAAAAAAAAUAGAACCCUCAAGUGUAAAGCCUUUGUAUGAUUCCAUUGUGGCCUCUGAAAUUAAAUUACUUCAAGAGUUAAUCUUUUUUAAAACAGUCAUCCAGACUGCAGUCUCAGAGAUAGUCUUCCUCUCAAGUUGUACUGCUUCUACCUGCUGUGUCUUCAGCACCAUCCCAGGACCUGAAAUGCUCUUCCCAUGAAACCCACCAAGGCAGAGGUUGGCAAGUUGAAUUAAGAUGAUAUUCUGUUUCUUAAGAUUUAAACAGGAAAGGGAUACAGCAGUUCCAACUAAGAGUUAAUACUAUGAAGAUGUUUGUAAGUCAGGUGUUUUUAACAUAUCCUAAAUUUAUAUGUAAUAUUUGUUCAAAUCUAAACACAUUUCAAAACUAACAAUAAAUUCUUCUAAAAUCGAACUAUUUCCUUCCUUAACUGUGAUCCAUUAUUUUUCUCUCCUCCAAAAAGCAUUCAUAUAAUCGUCUAUUCUUCUAUUCUUAAGUAUUCUACUGGUCUUGUUAAUGUGAUUUAAGUUUUGUCCAUAACGCAAUUUGGUCUUCACAUCCUGAUUGUUCUCCUAAUGAUCCACUCUAUAUUGGAUAAAACUAGAGUUUCAUGUGAACAGGAAGGAGUUUAAAGAUUCAGAUUUCCUUUCUGAAUCCUAGAAAACAAACAUGCUAUUACCUCCUCCAUUCUCAUUCAUACUACUUGUUACUGAAAUAAUCUA